rnacentral:rRNA from 1 species
CCUACGGGUGGCAGCAGUCGAGAAUCAUUCACAAUGGGGGAAACCCUGAUGGAGCAACGCCGCGUGCAGGAUGAAGGCCUUCGGGUUGUAAACUGCUUUUAUAAGCGAGAAAUAUGAUGGUAACUUAUGAAUAAGGAUCGGCUAACUACGUGCCAGCAGCCGCGGUCAUACGUAGGAUCCGAGCAUUAUCCGGAGUGACUGGGUGUAAAGAGUUGCGUAGGUGGCAUAAUAAGUAGCUAGUGAAAUCUGGUGGCUCAACCAUUCAGACUAUUAGCUAAACUGUUAAGCUCGAGACCGUUAGGGGUAACUGGAAUUUCUAGUGUAGGAGUGAAAUCCGUAGAUAUUAGAAGGAACACCAAUAGCGUAGGCAGGUUGCUGGGACGGUUCUGACACUAAGGCACGAAAGCGUAGGGAGCAAACGGGAUUAGAUACCCCAGUAGUC